GUUGAAACUCCGAAUCCCGUACAAUCAUCGAAGUUAAGCAACGUCGAGCCUCGUCAGUAUCUAGAUGGGUGGCGGCUUGGGAAUACGAGGCGCUGUAA